rnacentral:rRNA from 1 species
GACGAACGCUGGCGGCGUGCCUAAUACAUGCAAGUAGAACGCUGAAGAGAGGAGCUUGCUCUUCUUGGAUGAGUUGCGAACGGGUGAGUAACGCGUAGGUAACCUGCCUGGUAGCGGGGGAUAACUAUUGGAAACGAUAGCUAAUACCGCAUAAAAUUGAUUAUUGCAUGAUAAUUAAUUGAAAGAUGCAACUGCAUCACUACCAGAUGGACCUGCGUUGUAUUAGCUAGUUGGUGAGGUAACGGCUCACCAAGGCGACGAUACAUAGCCGACCUGAGAGGGUGAUCGGCCACACUGGGACUGAGACACGGCCCGGACUCCUACGGGAGGCAGCAGUAGGGAAUCUUCGGCAAUGGGGGGAACCCUGACCGAGCAACGCCGCGUGAGUGAAGAAGGUUUUCGGAUCGUAAAGCUCUGUUGUAAGAGAAGAACGGGUGUGAGAGUGGAAAGUUCACACUGUGACGGUAUCUUACCAGAAAGGGACGGCUAACUACGUG